CGUAGGGGCAAGCGUUAUCCGGAUUUACUGGGGUGUAAAAGGGAGCGUAGACGGCAGUGCAAGUCUGAAGUGAAAGCCCGGGGCUCAACCCCGGGACUGCUUUGGAAACUGUGCAGCUAGAGUGUCGGAGAGGCAAGCGGAAUUCCUAGUGUAGCGGUGAAAUGCGUAGAUAUUAGGAGGAACACCAGUGGCGAAGGCGGCUUGCUGGACGAUGACUGACGUUGAGGCUCGAAAGCGUGGGGAGCAAACAGGAUU
rnacentral:rRNA from 1 species